AGAGUUUGAUCUGGCUCAGAAUCAACGCUGGCGGCGUGCUAACACAUGCAAGUCGAACGAGAAAGCAGGAGCAAUCUUGUGAGUAAAGUGGCGUACGGGUGAGUAACACGUGGAUCAUCUACCCUCUUGUGGGGGAUAACUCUGGAAACCGGAGCUAAUCCGCAUAAGUCCGAGAGGAGAAAGCAGCAAUGCGCAGGAGGAGGAGUCCGCGGCCGAUUAGCUAGUUGGUAGGGUAAAACCUACCAAGGCUACGAUCGGUAGCCGGCCUGAGAGGGCACACGGCCACACUGGCACUGAAACACGGGCCAGACUCCUACGGGAGGCAGCAGUGGGGAAUCUUGCACAAUGGGGGCAACCCUGAUGCAGCGACGCCGCGUGAGCGAUGAAGCCUUCGGGGUGUAAAGCUCUUUCGGCAGGGAAGAUUAUGACGGUACCUGCAGAAGCAGCUGCGGCUAACUACGUGCCAGCAGCCGCGGUAAUACGUAGGCAGCGAGCGUUGUUCGGAGUUACUGGGCGUAAAGGGUGUGUAGGCGGUCUUCUAAGUCUGGUGUGAAAUCUCCCGGCUCGACUGGGAGGGUGCGCCGGAAACUGGGAGGCUAGAGUGCGGGAUGGGAGAGUGGAAUUCCUGGUGUAGCGGUGAAAUGCGUAGAUAUCAGGAGGAACACCUGUGGUGUAGACGGCUCUCUGGACCGCAACUGACGCUGAGACACGAAAGCGUGGGUAGCAAACAGGAUUAGAUACCCUAGUAGUCC
rnacentral:rRNA from 1 species